AUAGCCUUUCGAAAGAAAGAUUAAUACCCGAUGGCAUAGUUCUUCCGCAUGGUAGAACUAUUAAAGAAUUUCGGUCAUCGAUGGGGAUGCGUUCCAUUAGGUUGUUGGCGGGGUAACGGCCCACCAAGCCUUCGAUGGAUAGGGGUUCUGAGAGGAAGGUCCCCCACAUUGGAACUGAGACACGGUCCAAACUCCUACGGGAGGCAGCAGUGAGGAAUAUUGGUCAAUGGACGAGAGUCUGAACCAGCCAAGUAGCGUGAAGGAUGACUGCCCUAUGGGUUGUAAACUUCUUUUAUACGGGAAUAAAGUGAGGCACGUGUGCCUUUUUGUAUGUACCGUAUGAAUAAGGAUCGGCUAACUCCGUGCCAGCAGCCGCGGUAAUACGGAGGAUCCGAGCGUUAUCCGGAUUUAUUGGGUUUAAAGGGAGCGUAGGCGGACGCUUAAGUCAGUUGUGAAAGUUUGCGGCUCAACCGUAAAAUUGCAGUUGAUACUGGGUGUCUUGAGUACAGUAGAGGCAGGCGGAAUUCGUGGUGUAGCGGUGAAAUGCUUAGAUAUCACGAAGAACUCCGAUUGCGAAGGCAGCUUGCUGGACUGUAACUGACGCUGAUGCUCGAAAGUGUGGGUAUCAAACAGGAUUAGAUACCCUGGUAGUCCACACAGUAAAC
rnacentral:rRNA from 1 species